rnacentral:rRNA from 1 species
CGGGGGGGGGCAAGCGUUGUUCGGAAUUACUGGGCGUAAAGGGCGCGCAGGCGGGCGGGACAGGUCUCUCGUGAAAUCCCACGGGCUCAACCGUGGAAUUGCGGGAGAUACUUCUCGUCUUGUGUUCGGGAGAGGAGUGUGGAAUUCCCAGUGUAGCGGUGAAAUGCGUAGAUAUUGGGAGGAACACCGGUGGCGAAGGCGGCACUCUGGACCGAUACUGACGCUGAGGCGCGAAAGCUAGGGGAGCAAACGGGAUUAGAUACCCCGGUAGUCCUGGCUGUAAACGCUGAGCACUUGGUGUAGCGGGUAUCGACCCCUGCUGUGCCGAAGCUAACGCAUUAAGUGCUCCGCCUGGGGAGUACGGUCGCAAAGGCUG